rnacentral:lncRNA from 1 species
UUUUUUUUUUUUUUUUGAGGAAACAGAAUCCAUUCUGUGGGAAGCUGGAGGAAAACUGUGAUGGGCAAAGUUCCAAGAUGGCUUCUGAGAUCUCCUUCCCCCACAUAGUGUUUUGUAUAACUCCUUCCUUUUGAGUGUAGGUAGAACCUGGGGCUUGCUUCUAACAGAAUCACAUUCAUGAUCAUGCUAUAUUAUGUGGCAGAGGUAAAGGGAUUUUGCAGAGGUGAUUAGGGCCCUCAUCAGUUGACUGAAUCACAGGGGAGAUUAUCAUGGGUGGGCCUGAUCUACUUGGAGAAGCCCUUCAAUAAAGGUUUAGAGGAGUUUCUGCUGUGGUGUAAUGGGAUUGAUGACAUCUUUGGAGUCCUGGGAUGUCCUUAGAUUCCUGGCCAGCACAGUGGGUUAAGGACAUAGUGUUGCCACAGCUGCAGUUUGGAUGGCAACUGUGGCCCAGAUCUGAUCCCUGGCCUGGGAACUCCACAUGUUGCAGGUGGCCAAAAAAAGGGGCUUAAGAAAUAGAGACUCUCUCUCCACUUCUGACCUUGAAGAAGAGAGUCACAAGAAGAUGACUUCUGUCACCAACCCAAGGGAGUGUGGAAGCAAACUCUUCCCAUUAUUGUGUGUUUGUAUUUAAUUAUAUGUAUUUUAUAUAUAGAGAGAGAGAGAAGCUAUCUGGGCAUUCCUUAGCCUACUGAAAUUCAUCAAUUAUUAACCAUCAAACUUGGUCUUGCUACAAGUCUGGAUGGGAGUAGCAAGCUAGUGGUCCCAGGAACCAGAUGCAGUGGGAAAGCAGAGACUUUGGAUCCAGCUGUCCUACUGCAGAACUUCUGAAGGUUCCUGCUGAGAGGGCGGGCUGGUAUUUAUGGCUGAGGGUACAUUUGCACAUCAAUUGCACUGGAUGAGAGGAGGCAUUGUCCCAGUGAUGUGUUGUUGGCCUGAGUACCUUUUUACUUUCUGCAGUAAAAUGUUGUCUUUUAUUAUUAAUAUAAUAAUUAUGUUAUAUUGGUCAGUUCACAACUAACAAAGUCAUUUUGACCAGCCAGAGACUGUUUGAGGAGCAUGCUUCCCGGAGAACACCAAAUUGGCUCUGAGCCAUUUGUCAUCAUUGUUGUCAUUGUCUUCCUGUGGUUAUGAUCAUUAUUAAUAAUGACGAUCAUGAUCAUUAGGCUUAGAAAGAAAAUAAUGAUAAAAUGGCUCUAAUUAGGCAUUCUAAAUACGUCAUGUUCUUAUCAGUAUGUUGUCUAGUAUUAAUUAUAAUCACUAUAAUCACUCUAACAAUAUGAACUUCUCCUGGAGUUUGUCUUCUGUGUGAUCAAAGCCUUGAAAGACGUGCUCUUGUUAGCUUUCCUGACAUUCUGGCAAAGGGGAUACAGAUUUCCAGUCAUGGCCCUUGUGUGGUGGACUAAGUAUGGACUAAAGGGGAUGUAAUAAAGAACUCUAGAAACCAAAACCAAAACACAGCCGAGUCAAUGGUGGGUAGACACAUUGUUGGGAGGUGUGUUUGAUGUGGUACAAUCCAAAAUGAAAUAGACUUCAGGAAGUUCAUUUUUACUUUUCUUUUUUUUUUUGGCACACUGGUGGCAUAUGGAAGUUCCCAGGCUAGGGGUUGAAUUGGAGCUACUGCUACCAGCCUAGGCCACAGCCACAGCAAUGCUGGAUCCAAGCCACAUCCGUGACUUUAGCUGUAGCUUGUAGUAACACCAGAUCCUUAAUCCACUGAGUAAGGCCAAGGAUUGAACCCACAUUCUCAUGGAGAUUGUGUCAGGUUCUUACCCACUGAACCACAGUGGAAAUUCCCAAUUCUACUUUCAACUUGAACAUUGCCUCUGCCAUUUCCCAGCUCUGUAACGUUGAGAAAUUGCUUUGCCUCUCUGAGCGUAGUGAUUAGUAAUACUUUAUCUUCCUAUUGCAAGUAGAAGCCACACGUAUCUUCCUGUUUCACAGCACAUUUAGUUGAAUGAAAUAAUGCAUGGAGCCAAGAGUAAAGUCCCAGGUUUUGAACUCUUGGAAGAAACCAAGUGAAUGUUCACUCCAGCCCUUGGGACAGAACUUGACACAUGGUUAGUUUGUACUUAAUGGCUGUUGGUUGAGUGCGUAAAGACAGCAAAGGAUUGAUGGCUUUAUAUAAUUUAUAGCUAGAAGUUUUAAAUAGAAUAAUUAAUUUCUGGUACUUAAUUUUCUGAGAUGACUGAGUCUGAGGUGCUCUGCCUCUUGUCCCAGCCCACCCGUCAGCUCUCUCUGCCCUGGAUAGGGACUUAUGGAAGCAGCUUGUGGGGGAAAAGGAGGUCUCUGGACUCUUGGCAUUAAACAAGAUGAGCACAUGUGAAGAUAGCCUGCCAUUACAGCCAUUAGUACGAUGGGUUUUGUCCCUGAGUUCACCCACCCCCUCUCCAUGUGAUUGCAGCCCUUCCUCCAGGGACUGGCUGCCCCUUCAAGGCUACCCCUGAGCCCAGGCCCUUUCUUUAACUUAACUUAACCAACAUCCACUGUGACUCGGACCUGGGCUUGGAGGAUCUCCUGUUUGAAGAAUCUUGAAGUUGGCUAAAAAUGGCAGAGUCUCUUAGCUAUUCCAACAUCCCCCUGUUCUGUAUGAUUUAUGCUAUCAUUUGCAUUUAGAAGGAGAAGGACGUGCCCAUCAAAGGUAAGCUCAGUUUCAUUUCAUUUAUUGGAACUUCCUCAUUAUUAACGAAACUAAUGAACUCUUAGUUGUCUUAGUUGUCACCAAGACUUAACAUGCUGCUAUCUGACUUCAUGUGCCCCGACCUCAUUUUUUCUUUCAAGGCCAAAGAUGUUCUAGGGUAGUCACAUCUAUAGGGCAUUUGCAGGCCUGGCUAUAAGUCCUUUUCUGCAAUUGGGCAUGCUCUUGUUUUCCAUUAGAGCAGUGGUCUCAGAGGCCAUGUGUGUGAGGUAGAAGGAUCCUGGAUCCUCUUGGAGGAGAGGAACUAAGAUACAACCUGAGACUGUGCCAGGAGAAAGAAGUAAAGCUCUGUUACCAUAGGCAUCUGAGAUGUGGAGUUUUUUGUUACAGCAGCUAGUGCAUUACCCUGACUACUGUGAAAUUAAUAAACACAGACAGAGAAAUUCCUGGAAAGCAGGAUGUUGAAGAGAUGGGCAUUCCAGGGAGAGAGACGUUCCAUUUUGUUCUUUCACUGUCAUCCUGAGUAUCUGUCUGGGAGUUAGCAGUGUGUUGACCCUCCCAUGAUUCCCACGGAUAAAAGGCGGCAGAGCCUGAGGUCCCAGGAAGGCCAGCUCUUCCGCUGGGCCCACAUUCUGCCAUGGGCUCGCUUGCCAGCCAGCUUCUUUGGAAGGCACAUCACCCUUGAUCCCAUCCCUGAUCUUGCUCGAGGGGCUUGGCCAAGGGGUGGAGGCCUGGACCCGCAGAGCCCAGGGGUAAGCUGGCCCUGAUUUCAGGCUAAAGAAUGCUCCACGGGCCCCUUUGCUGGUUGCCAUCUCUCGGCUUUGUGUGCGGGGAAACAUCUUGAACAAAAUGUCACGGAGAGAGCAUCUCAGCCGUGUCCUGCUGACUGAGGACAUGGGCUGCCGGGUUUGCCAUCUGCCUGCAGCCUCUCCGAGGUAAUUAUAUCAGAGUCUCUCAAGUCCUGGAACAAGGUGGAUGUCAGAUGCACUUUUCUUCCUCUAGGAAGGUAAUUUUCAUUUUCUCACUUCAUUUGGAGCUGCAUAUCGUUAUUGUCUUCAGGUGUGAGAGAGGUGCAGGGAGAGAGGAUGGGGGAGUGUGUGGAGUGGGAAAGAGGAGGAGCACCGUGGUGGGGGGAGUAGGACCAGGGAUGAUGUGAUGGUGGCGAGAGUGGGAGGGGCUCAACCACCCCUGAGCCUAAAGAGGGGCACAGAUACUAAUUUUGGCAACUUUUAAUUAAAGGAUAGGCUGGGAAAAUUCCAUUAUUAUUACUGCUCAGCUUUCUGACUGGAGUGGCUUAACAUCUCCUUUAUUAGUGUAAUUGUCUGAAAGUAUUUUCUUUAUUCUCAGAUUGCUAAUUUGCAUCAGGAAAAGGAAAUGUGUCUGAUAGCUCCUGAAGGAAAAUGUUUUCAGAAUUGCCAAACAUGGAGCAUUUAUGCUUUUUCCUCUGCCCCUCGUAUGAUCGCUUUUUGUUUGGAGUGAGAAGAAGAAGAGGAUUCAGGUGUAAGCAUGAAGGAUGCUUAACGAGACUGUCACCUGUAAAGCUAGCCCUCAGUGGGAAUGUGUUUUAAACAUGGGGCUUCUCCAAGUCCUUCCCCAAUGCAUCUUCCCUAGGAUAUGGGUCUUAGGACACUUCUGGGGAAGGAGGGGUGGCAGCAUCUCUUCCUUAUGGAAUUAACUAUGAAAUUUGUAUAACGAAGGCUAGUGGCCAAGACCACAAGGUUACUGGAUGCCAGGCAGCUGUCCAGGUGCCCUUGGCUCUGUAACAAAUGUUUGUAGACAUUAAAAGUGUGCUUUGAAAUAUUAAUUUUAUUGUUUUCACAGCAGAUGUACAAAUUAGACUUUAUUUUAUUUUUGUAUCAUUUUACAGUCAGAGAAAUUGAAUUUUAUAAAGAAAAAAUGCUUUAGCCAUGGUUGUCUAAUAAGUAGACCAAAAAAGUCCCUAUUUUCUUGGGAUUGAGGGAGGUCCUGGGACAUGGGACUUUCAAUUUUAAAGUGAAGUGAGUCUUGGGUAAAAUGAGAUGGGCUGGUCACUUUACUAGAAAAUUCAAUUCUGGGUCUUAAGAUCCAAGGACAGGAUUCUUUUUUGUUUCUCACAACUUCCCCCAGUAUAUGCACUAUAUUUUACAGUGUUAGUUGGCUUUAUUUAGGCAUUUAUUAUUUUGCACAUAGACACUAACUACCCUGCCAGUGAAGUAAUAUGGCUGAUCUAGAGCUGUACAGGAGAAUAAACACACCAAAUAUUAACAAUACUGAUUUGUGCCUUUUGAAGAAUUGCCUUUGAGAGGUUGCAUAUUACUCCAUUGCUCAAAAUGUGCUUGGAAAUUCCAGAUCUUGCAAUUUGUCUCUAGACCCAAUUUUUAGGGCCAUUCAAGAGGCAAAGUGUUACUAUUUUGUGGCAAAAUUGCUUUUUAGUAAUUUGCCUCUUGUUUCACCUCUCUUGCUCUUCUAGUUUGGGCCAGGAAAUAUUUUCUUGUUUACCUAUCUUUAUUAUGUGUUUUUAUAUCCUUGUACCAGCCUGUUUCAAUUGCCAUGUAUCUAUAGCAGUAGAAACUGUGGUUGAUUAUAAGUGCAGAUGGUGUUAGGUGACCAACAUGGUAACCCAUUGAAUUCUGAAGAUGCCAUGUACUGUAAUAUUUGAUGUUAUUCAAGUAUGAUAUAAAAUAUUUGAUAAAAUAUUUUAAAAUUAGCAAGGAUUUAGAAUUGGGUUAAUAAUAAGUAAGCAUUGUUACAGUGCUAUAAAUGAAACCCCAGGAAGGUUUCAGAAAACAUGUUUAGCAGGAUGUACAAGAAGAGAACCACAGUCACAGGACAUGAUGGCAGUAGAUGGGACAUUUUUUAUUUAAUUAAAAAGGAAGCCAGUAGGGAAUAUUAAUUUCUAUUUAAAUUUAGUAGAAAUAUUACAAAAGCCUAUGCAAGAAUGCUCAAAAAAAGGAGCAUUGAAAAGAUAAGGAGUAUUAAAUAUUAAAAUAUCACUUUUUAGCCUUGUGUUUCUACAUAGCAUUAGGUCAAGUAUUAGGUUGAACAAAUAGAAGUUUUUUUGGUCAGAAGUGGUUGAAUAUUGGCAGUUGUAUAUGGUUCAAACUAACGUGACUAUUUCUAUCUUGUUGAAGGAGAAAUAGAAUUGAGACAGUGAGUUAUUAGAAGCACAGGGCAGAGAGCUCUUCUGAUCCCCAAUCUAGAGAAUUAUCUGAUUUUUCUCUUUUGUAGUUCCAGCUCCAGUGGCUCUCAUAGAGCAAAAACUUUAUAAAUGUAUGUGGUGGUUUUUGAAAAAUGGUCAAAAAUUUGUUGACAUUCUUCCCAUCAGUACAUAGAAUCUAUGUCCUUACCUCUUGAAUCAGGCAGUCUUAUGAUUCUUUUUCAAAACAAACAAAUUUUUAUUGAAACAUUAUUGAUUUACUUUGCUGUGUUCAUUUCAGGUGUACAGAGAAGUUAUUCAUUUAUACAUAUGUUUCUAUAUAUAUUUUCUUUUUUAGAUUCUUAUCAAUUAUAGUUUAUUAUAAGAUAUUGGGUAGAUUUCCCUGUGCCAGACAGUAGGUCCUUGUUGUUUAUCCAUUUCAUAUACAGUAGCAUAUAUCUGUUACUCCCCAACUCCUAAUUUAUCCCUCCCUCACCCCUUUCCCUCUUUCAUGACCGUAAGUUUAUUUCUACGUCUGUGAGUCUAUUUCUACUUUGCAAAUAGGUUCAUUUGUAUAUUUUUUAGAUUCCACAUCUAAAUGAUAUGUCUUUCUUUGUCUGACUUAGUAUGAUCAUUUCAGGUCCAUCCAUAUUGUUGUAAAUGGCAAUAUUCCAUUCUUUUUUAUGACUGAGUAGUAUUCCAUUGUAUAUAUGUACCACAUCUUCUUUAUCCAUUCAUCUGAGCACGGACAUUUAGGUUGCAUCUGAGUCUUGGCUAUUUUAACUUAUGAUUAUCUUGACC